AACGGCCGUACCAUGCUGAAUAUACCGGUUCUCGUUAGAUCACCGAAGUUAAGCAUCAUUGGGCGCGGUCAGUACUUGGGUGGGUGACCACCUGGGAC
rnacentral:rRNA from 1 species